GGCCUAACACAUGCAAGUCGAGCGGUAGCACAGAGGAGCUUGCUCCUUGGGUGACGAGCGGCGGACGGGUGAGUAAAGUCUGGGGAUCUGCCUGAUGGAGGGGGAUAACUACUGGAAACGGUAGCUAAUACCGCAUGACGUCGCAAGACCAAAGCGGGGGACUUUCGGGCCUCGCGCCAUCAGAUGAACCCAGAUGGGAUUAGCUAGUAGGUGGGGUAAAGGCUCACCUAGGCGACGAUCUCUAGCUGGUCUGAGAGGAUGACCAGCCACACUGGGACUGAGACACGGCCCAGACUCCUACGGGAGGCAGCAGUGGGGAAUAUUGCACAAUGGGGGGAACCCUGAUGCAGCCAUGCCGCGUGUGUGAAGAAGGCCUUAGGGUUGUAAAGCAC
rnacentral:rRNA from 1 species